GCCGCCUUAGCUCAACGGUAGAGCAAUCCCUUCGUAAGGGAUAGGUUGUCAGUUCAAAUCUGACAGGCGGCU
rnacentral:tRNA from 1 species